rnacentral:rRNA from 1 species
CGUAGGGGCGAGCGUUGUCCGGAAUUAUUGGGGCGUAAAGCGCGCGCAGGCGGUUUUGUAAGUCCGAUUGUUUAAACCCGGGGCUCAACCUCGGGUCGCAAGGGAAACUGCAAGACUUGAGUGCAGGAGAGGGAAGCGGAAUUCCAUGUGUAGCGGUGAAAUGCGUAGAGAUAUGGAGGAACACCAGUGGCGAAGGCGGCUUCCUGGCCUGUAACUGACGCUGAGGCGCGAAAGCGUGGGGAGCAAACAGGAUU